rnacentral:rRNA from 1 species
CAGUAGCCGCGGGAAUACGUAGGUCCCGAGCGUUGUCCGGAUUUAUUGGGCGUAAAGCGAGCGCAGGCGGUUAGAUAAGUCUGAAGUUAAGGGCUGUGGCUUAACCAUAGUACGCUUUGGAAACUGUUUAACUUGAGUGCAAGAGGGGAGAGUGGAAUUCCAUGUGUAGCGGUGAAAUGCGUAGAUAUAUGGAGGAACACCGGUGGCGAAAGCGGCUCUCUGGCUUGUAACUGACGCUGAGGCUCGAAAGCGUGGGGAGCAAACAGGAUUAGAUACCCCCGUAGUCCCUGUCUCUUAUACA